UACGGCGAGAAACUUCCCGGGCCUUGCCAUGCGGAGAACUUUCCAGAGAUGGAUGGGUGCCUUCGGGAAUUCUGACCCAGUUGCUGCAUGGCGUUCGUCAGCUGGUGUCGUGAGAUGUUGGGUUAAGUCCCGUAACGAGGCCAACCCUUGUCCUUAGUUACCACCACUUAAUGGUGGGCAUUUUAAGGAGACUCCCGGUGCCAAACCGGAGGAAGGUGGGGAUGAGGUCAAUUCUUCAUGGCCCUUACGCCCUGGGUUCCCCACGUGUUCCAAUGGUCGGUACAGAGGGUUGCCAAGCCGGGAGGUGGAGCUAAUCCCACAAACCCGAUUCUAUUCCGGAUCGCAGUCUGCAACUGGACCCCGGAAGUGGGAACCGAAAGUAAUCGAGAAUCAGAAGAAGCGGGAAACGAAG
rnacentral:rRNA from 1 species